rnacentral:rRNA from 1 species
UCGCACGAGAAAGGGGAGCAAUCCCUGAGUAAAGUGGCGUACGGGUGAGUAACACGUGGGUAAUCUACCUCUUUGUGGGGAAUAACCCUGGGAAACCGGGGCUAAUACCGCAUAAGCCCGAGAGGGGAAAGCAGCAAUGCGCUGAGAGAGGAGCCCGCGGCCGAUUAGCUAGUUGGUGAGGUAACGGCCCACCAAGGCAAAGAUCGGUAGCCGGCCUGAGAGGGCACACGGCCACACUGGCACUGAAACACGGGCCAGACUCCUACGGGAGGCAGCAGUGGGGAAUCUUGCACAAUGGGGGAAACCCUGAUGCAGCGACGCCGCGUGAGCGAUGAAGCCCUUCGGGGUGUAAAGCUCUUUCGGCAGGGAAGAUUAUGACGGUACCUGCAGAAGCAGCUGCGGCUAACUACGUGCCAGCAGCCGCGGUAAUACGUAGGCAGCAAGCGUUG